UAAAACCUCAUUAAUUUUGGAGCUAAUAUUUAAUUUUAAAUACUUUUUUUUACCUUCCAAAGCAAUAAAAUCCUCUCAGUAUUUUUAGAAUGUUUUCUUCAAUAAUGUCUUUAUUUAAAUGUCUGUAUUUUAUAGAACAAAAUAUCAGCAAGCUUGUAGAACAAAAUCAUUUUGUUUGCCAUGUUUCCUCCCACAUUAAUUCUUUAGCAUGGGUUGGUUAUCCUCUUUAAAUAUUAGGUUUCACAUGACAGAAAACUCCCAACAGACUGGUGAAGCAGCUUGCACCAUGCCCUCAGGCAAAUUUGACACUAACCAAUCUGUGUCAGCUCGACAUAUUUUGUCUGUGAGGAAACAUAAAACAAUCCUUUGUAUGCUACAAAGACAUUUCUCCUCUCAAUAAGGUAAUCAUCUUCAGUUCUUGUAAUGCGUUACAAAAUGGGAUUAGGUGAAUGAAGCAUUGUAUGAAAUUUUAAAACAGCUCAACGAUGAUUGACCCAGAUGACUCAGAGGGCAGAAGAG